UACGAAGGGGGCUAGCGUUGCUCGGAAUCACUGGGCGUAAAGCGCACGUAGGCGGAUGUUUAAGUCAGGGGUGAAAGCCGGGGGCUCAACUCCAGAACUGCCCCUGAUACUGAUGAUCUUGAGUCCGGAAGAGGUUGGUGGAACUCUGAGUGUAGAGGUGAAGUUCGUAGAUAUUCGGAAGAACACCAGUGGCGAAGGCGGCCAACUGGUCAGGUACUGACGCUGAGGUGCGAAAGCGUGGGGAGCAAACAUG
rnacentral:rRNA from 1 species